AUGGGUGGCCUGGGGCUCCUCCUCCCCGCCGACCGCGAACACGACCCGGAGCUGAAGCCGUGCUCUCCCCCCAAGGGCGUCCUACGGCUGCGCGGCGCCGUGCAGCACUACGAGUGGGGCAGCCGCGGGGACGCCUCCCUCGUCGCUCGCCUCGCCGGCGAGACAGAGGAGGGCCGCCCCUGCGCCGAGCUCUGGAUAGGCACCCACCCGGCUGCCCCGUCGUCGCUAGCAUCCGACGACGGGGGCGCGGUCUCGCUCAGGGAGUGGCUGGCGCGCAACCCCGCUGCGCUCCUCGGCCGCGCCGUCACCGCGCGCUGGGACGGCGACCUCCCCUUCCUAUUCAAGGUGCUCUCGGUGGCGAAGCCGCUCUCCAUCCAGGCGCAUCCGGACAGGGAGCUCGCCAGGGCGCUCCACGCGCUGCGCCCUACCACGUACCGCGACGCCAACCACAAGCCUGAGAUGGCCGUUGCCGUCACCGAGUUCCGCGCCCUCUGCGGCUUCGUCAGCGUCCAGGAGCUCAAGGAUGUUUUGAGGACUGUACCUGAGGUUCGAAUGUUAGUUGGCAAAGAAGAUGUUGUGAAGCUUAUGACUGCCAAAGAGCACGAUGGAGGUAUUGGAGUAAGGUCAUAUCUGCAAUCAGCUUUUACUAAGCUAAUGGCAACAAGCAAAGAAGCAGUUGCUGAAGCAAUUUCCAAAUUAAAGAGUCGCUUGAAUGGGGAGAUAAAGAUUAGAACCUUUACAGAGAAGGAGCAACUAGUUUUAUCACUAGAGCAGCAGUACCCAGGAGAUGUUGGCGUUUUAUCAGCAUUUUUCUUUAACUAUGUUAAGCUCAGCCCUGGUGAAGCACUUUACAUUGGUGCCAACGAACCACAUGCAUAUCUAUCAGGAGAGUGUGUUGAAUGCAUGGCUACCUCAGACAAUGUAAUUCGUGCUGGUCUGACUCCUAAGUACAAAGAUGUCCAAACUCUUUGCUCCAUGCUGACAUACAAGCAGAUGUUCCCCGAAAUUUUGCAAGGUGUUCUGGUUCAGCCAUAUGUAAUUCGUUACACACCCCCAUUCGAUGAGUUCGAAGUUGAUCGCUACUUGCUACCUCAAGGUGAAUCGGUUACCAUGUUACCAGUGCCUGGCCCAUCCAUCUUCCUCGUCAUGACUGGGGAGGGCGAGAUCCAGGCUGAUGGCAUGCCUGACGAAGGAGUAGCAAAGGAAGGGGAUGUUUUCUUUGUGCUGGCACGCACGGAGGUGAAGCUUCACGCUUCUGGCCCUGGGUGCUUGCAGCUGUACAGAGCCGGAGUAAACAGCAGAUUCUUCUGUUGA
rnacentral:rRNA from 1 species